UCGUAACAARGUUUCCGUAGGUGAACCAGCGGAGGGAUCAUUAUAGAGUUGUCUUCUCUAUUCAACCCUGUGAACGUUCUCGCGGUUGCUUCGGUGGGCGGCUCCUGGGAGGAGCCGCGGCCCGUACGGGCGCCCGCCGGAGGCCCGAAACCCCAGAAUUGUUAGCGUAUCUGAGCACUAUUUUAAUAAGUCAAAACUUUCAACAACGGAUCUCUUGGUUCUGGCAUCGAUGAAGAACGCAGCGAAAUGCGAUAAGUAAUGUGAAUUGCAGAACUCAGCGAAUCAUCGAAUCUUUGAACGCACAUUGCGCCCGCCGGUAUUCCGGCGGGCAUGCCUGUUCGAGCGUCAUUACAACCCUCGAGCCCUGCUCGGUGUUGGGGUCCCGCGCCACCUGCGGGCCCCGAAAUGUAGUGGCGGUGCCGCCCGGCCCGCAGCGUAGUAGCCUAACCUCGCUCGCGGCGCCUGGGCGCACACCCGCCGUAAAACAACCCCAUCAUCAAAGGUUGACCUCGGAUCAGGUAGGAAUACCCGCUGAACUUAAGCAUAUCAAUAAGCGGAGAAAAAGAAAC
rnacentral:rRNA from 1 species